UGAGAAUAGACAUAAGGAUAGGUGAUACAGU
rnacentral:piRNA from 1 species